rnacentral:rRNA from 1 species
AGCGAACGGACGAGGAGCUUGCUCCUUUGAAGUUAGCGGCGGACGGGUGAGUAACACGUGGGUAACCUACCUAUAAGACUGGAAUAACUCCGGGAAACCGGGGCUAAUGCCGGAUAACAUGUUGAACCGCAUGGUUCAACAGUGAAAGACGGUCUUGCUGUCACUUAUAGAUGGACCCGCGCCGUAUUAGCUAGUUGGUGGGGUAACGGCCUACCAAGGCGACGAUACGUAGCCGACCUGAGAGGGUGAUCGGCCACACUGGAACUGAGACACGGUCCAGACUCCUACGGGAGGCAGCAGUAGGGAAUCUUCCGCAAUGGGCGAAAGCCUGACGGAGCAACGCCGCGUGAGUGAUGAAGGUCUUCGGAUCGUAAAGCUCUGUUGUUAGGGAAGAACAAAUGUGUAAGUAACUGUGCACGUCUUGACGGUACCUAACCAGAAAGCCACGGCUAACUACGUGCCAGCAGCCGCGGUAAUACGUAGGUGGCAAGCGUUAUCCGGAAUUAUUGGGCGUAAAGCGCGCGUAGGCGGUUUUUUAAGUCUGAUGUGAAAGCCCACGGCUCAACCGUGGAGGGUCAUUGGAAACUGGAAAACUUGAGUGCAGAAGAGGAAAGUGGAAUUCCAUGUGUAGCGGUGAAAUGCGCAGAGAUAUGGAGGAACACCAGUGGCGAAGGCGGCUUUCUGGUCUGCAACUGACGCUGAUGUGCGAAAGCGUGGGGAUCAACAGGAUU